AGAGACAUGAACAUGCUCACUCAGCUCCUGGGAUUACUGCUGCUCUGGUUUGCAGGUGGUAAAUGUGACAUUCAGAUGACCCAGUCUCCUGCCUCCCAGUCUGCAUCUCUGGGAGAAAGUGUCACCAUCACAUGCCUGGCAAGUCAGACCAUUGGUACAUGGUUAGCAUGGUAUCAGCAGAAACCAGGGAAAUCUCCUCAGCUCCUGAUUUAUGCUGCAACCAGCUUGGCAGAUGGGGUCCCAUCAAGGUUCAGUGGUAGUGGAUCUGGCACAAAAUUUUCUUUCAAGAUCAGCAGCCUACAGGCUGAAGAUUU
rnacentral:lncRNA from 1 species